GAUGAACGCUGGCGGCGUGCCUAAUACAUGCAAGUCGAGCGAACGGACGAGAAGCUUGCUUCUCUGAUGUUAGCGGCGGACGGGUGAGUAACACGUGGAUAACCUACCUAUAAGACUGGGAUAACUUCGGGAAACCGUAGCUAAUACCGGAUAAUAUUUUGAACCGCAUGGUUCAAAAGUGAAAGACGGUCUUGCUGUCACUUAUAGAUGGAUCCGCGCUGCAUUAGCUAGUUGGUAAGGUAACGGCUUACCAAGGCAACGAUGCAUAGCCGACCUGAGAGGGUGAUCGGCCACACUGGAACUGCGACACGGUCCAGACUCCUACGGGAGGCAGCAGUAGGGAAUCUUCCGCAAUGGGCGAAGGCCUGACGGAGCAACGCCGCGUGAGUGAUGAAGGUCUUCGGAUCGUAAAACUCUGUUAUUAGGGAAGAACAUAUGUGUAAGUAACUGUGCACAUCUUGACGGUACCUAAUCAGAAAGCCACGGCUAACUACGUG
rnacentral:rRNA from 1 species